rnacentral:rRNA from 1 species
UACGUAGGGUGCGAGCGUUUGUCCGGAAUUAUUGGGCGUAAAGAGCUCGUAGGCGUUUGUCGCGUCGACUGUGAAAACCUACAGCUUAACUGUGGGCUUGCAGUCGAUACGGGCAGACUUGAGUUCGGUAGGGGAGACUGGAAUUCCUGGUGUAGCGGUGAAAUGCGCAGAUAUCAGGAGGAACACCGGUGGCGAAGGCGGGUCUCUGGGCCGAUACUGACGCUGAGGAGCGAAAAGCGUGGGGAGCGA